GACAGGAAAACUCGCGGUAAAAUAAAGUAUCGCGAUAACGACCACGGUUCUCUCUGAGACGUACAUAGAUAUAUAUCUAUGUGAGACGUAGUGGAGUAGAAGUACAGUAUAAAGUAGCGGACAAUGGAAAUACUUAAGCAAAUUCUUCUUCUAUACUAAAGUUAAUGCUGUUCUGUCUCACCUGAUGAACUGCACACUCCACACCUGCGUAGGGGAUCAUGCAGAGGAUGCUCGGCUUGAAUCCUCUGUAAAAGGAGGACACCGACUCGUGUCUGUAAAUGGUUCGGGCACAUGCCACAACACCAUGGGUAGAAGGCAGCGUGAGCGACAGCACCGGACACACAACCCAAGCCGAAACGCUGGUGCACCGUCAGAGUUUCCUGGUUCCUGUUCUGAGUGUACACCUUCAUCUGGACAAAGUAGAAUCCCUGACAAGUUGACGACAUUGCCUUGCCACAUCGACCGAAGACCACCUGCCCUCAUCAUCUCCUGAAAGCCUUGGGAAAAGGCUUUGGAUCCAUGAACCUACA